rnacentral:rRNA from 1 species
GAUGAACGCUGGCGGUCUGCUUAACACAUGCAAGUCGAGCGGGGACUUUCGGGUCCUAGCGGCGGACGGGUGAGUAACGCGUGAGAAUCUGCCCUCAGAACCGGGACAACAGCUGGAAACGGCUGCUAAUACCGGAUGAGCCUCCGGGUAAAAGAUUAAUCGUCUGGGGAUGAGCUCGCGUCAGAUUAGCUAGUUGGAGUGGUAACGGCACACCAAGGCAAUGAUCUGUAGCUGGUCUGAGAGGAUGAUCAGCCACACUGGGACUGAGACACGGCCCAGACUCCUACGGGAGGCAGCAGUGGGGAAUUUUCCGCAAUGGGCGCAAGCCUGACGGAGCAAGACCGCGUGGGGGAGGAA